GGUUGCGAUCAUACCAGCACUAAUGCACCGCAUCCAUCAGAACUUCGCAGUUAAGCGUGCUAGGGUGUGAGUAGUACUAGGAUGGGUGACCCCCUGGGAAUUCCUCGUGUUGCAACCCC
rnacentral:rRNA from 1 species